rnacentral:rRNA from 1 species
AUUGAACGCUGGCGGCAUGCUUUACACAUGCAAGUCGAACGGUAACAGGCCUUCGGGUGCUGACGAGUGGCGAACGGUUGAGUAAUGCAUCGGAACGUACCCAGAGGUGGGGGAUAACGCAGCGAAAGCUGUGCUAAUACCGCAUGUGAUCUGAUGAUGAAAGCGGGGGACCGAGCAGCAAUGUUUGGCCUCGCGCCUUUGGAGCGGCCGAUGUCGGAUUAGCUAGUUGGUGGGGUAAAGGCCUACCAAGGCGACGAUCCGUAGCUGGUCUGAGAGGACGACCAGCCACACUGGGACUGAGACACGGCCCAGACUCCUACGGGAGGCAGCAGUGGGGAAUUUUGGACAAUGGGCGCAAGCCUGAUCCAGCAAUGCCGCGUGCGGGAAGAAGGCCUUCGGGUUGUAAACCGCUUUUGGCAGGAACGAAACGGUGUCCGCUAAUACCGGGCGCUAAUGACGGUACCUGCAGAAUAAGCACCGGCUAACUACGUG